rnacentral:tRNA from 1 species
GAGGGUAUAGCUCAGUGGUGGAGUGUGUGCUUGGUGUGCAUGAGGUCCUGGGUUCAAUCCCCAGCGCCUCUG